rnacentral:tRNA from 1 species
GGGGAUUUAGCUCAAUGGUACAGCGCUUGCCUAGCAAGCACAAGGCCCUGGGUUCGGUCCCCAGCUCCA